rnacentral:rRNA from 1 species
CUACGGAGGGUGCAAGCGUUAAUCGGAAUUACUGGGCGUAAAGCGUGCGUAGGUGGUUUGUUAAGUUAGAUGUGAAAGCCCCGGGCUCAACCUGGGAACUGCAUUUGAAACUGGCAUACUAGAGUAUAGGAGAGGAAAGUGGAAUUUCAGGUGUAGCGGUGAAAUGCGUAGAUAUCUGAAGGAACAUCAAUGGCGAAGGCAGCUUUCUGGACUAAUACUGACACUGAGAUACGAAAGCGUGGGUAGCAAACAGGAUUAGAUACCCUAGUAGUCC